GGGAACACAGUCCUUAAAGGACACGCAGCAGCAGUUGCCGGCUCGAGGGCAGCCCACAGGGACCAACAGGAGGCCACAGGUCCCGAAAGAUGGGAACCCCCCGGAGACUUCUGGAAAGACCCUUGAUGGAGAGCUGGAACAUGAAAUUGCUACACACUCCCUUCCUUCUUGCCCUUUCAUCUUCACAACAGGUUCACGCCUGAGGUGGCCAGAAUUUAUAAACUUCAGUGCUUUGGGGUUCAAAAGCAGUGAACCAGGAUUCCUCCAUUAAAUGAAAAGAUGGAGAAAGAACCGGACAGAUGAGGCCCGGUGGCAGUCAUGGCGCCCAUUUGGAUGCCCUCGGGCCCAUCGCAUCUCCCCUGCUUUGCACAAACACAAAUGCUCCAAUCCUAAGUCUUAGAACCCGCCAUCUGGAUGCAGACCUGGCCAGCGAAGUUUGAUCAGCCCACCCCCAGGCCUGGGUAGGUAAUCGCUGGCCUAGAGGGAUGUGCAGGGAGUGAAGGGGAGGUGUUACAUCAAAAUCUGGUAGUUGUCCUACUUAUAGGAAAAACACAAUUAUGAAAAAGGGGCUGGUGAACUGAGUCCAACCCUCUGAUCUCCUGG
ensembl:lncRNA